rnacentral:rRNA from 1 species
UACGUAGGGACCAAGCGUUGUCCGGAAUCAUUGGGCGUAAAGAGCGUGUAGGCGGCCUGUUAAGUCUUGCGUGAAAAUCUCGGGGCUCAACCCCGAGCGGUCGUGAGAAACUGGCAGGCCAGAGUGCGGGAGAGGAGAGUGGAAUUCCUGGUGUAGCGGUGAAAUGCGCAGAUAUCAGGAAGAACACCCGUGGCGAAGGCGGCUCUCUGGAACGCAACUGACGCUGAGACGCGAAAGCGUGGGGAGCAAACAGG